rnacentral:rRNA from 1 species
AUACCACCGUCGUCAGCUUNNNNNNNGAAGGCCCGAUAGUAAGCAAAAUGGGUAAAACCCAAAACGUCAGGUCGAGGUGUAGCGCAUGGGGUGGGAAGAAAUGGGCUACAUUCUCUAAAUUAGAGCACUACGAACCACGUUGUGAAACCAACGUCCGAAGGUGGAUUUAGCAGUAAACAGAAAACAGAGAGUUCUCUUGAAACUGGCUCUGAGGCGCGCACACACCGCC